rnacentral:rRNA from 1 species
GACGAACGCUGGCGGCGUGCUUAACACAUGCAAGUCGAACGGAAAUUCCCUGCUUUUGUGGUGGGCUCGGGUGGCGAACGGGUGGGGAACACGGGAGGAGCCUGCCCUGGGCAUUCUGAUAACUACAGGGAACUGGGGCUAGGACCGGAUAGUUGCUCCUGCUGGAUGGUGGGGGUUCGAAAGUUUCGGCGGUUGGGGAUGUACUGGGGGCUUAUCAGCUUGUGUGUGGGGUAGUGGCUUACCAAGGCUUUGACGGGUAGACGGCCUGAGAGGGUGACAGGAACCAUUGGAACUGAGCUAAGGCACAGACCAAUACGGGAGGCAGGAGUGGGGAAUAUUGCACAAUGGGAGGAAGCCUGAUGCAGUACCGCGGCGUGCGGGAUGCCGGCCUUCGGGUUGUAACCCGCUUUCGCCUGUGACGAAGCGUGAGUGACGGUAAUGUGUAAAGAAGCACCGGCUAACUACGUG